GAUGAAGAACGUAGCGAAAUGCGAUACGUAAUGUGAAUUUCAGAAUUCAGUGAAUCAUCGAGUCUUUGAACGCACAUUGCGCCCCCUGGUAUUCCGGGGGGCAUGCCUGUCCGAGCGUCAUUGCAGCCCUCAAGCACGGCUUGUGUGUUGGGCCUCCGUCCUCCUCCCGGGGGACGGGCCCGAAAGGCAGCGGCGGCACCGCGUCCGGUCCUCGAGCGUAUGGGGCUUCGUCACCCGCUCUUGUAGGCCCGGCCGGCGCUUGCCGACACAUCAAUCUUUUUUCCAGGUUGACCUCGGAUCAGGUAGGGAUACCCGCUGAACUUAAGCAUAUCAAUAAGCGGAGGA
rnacentral:misc_RNA from 1 species